GUAGGUGAACCUGCGGAAGGAUCAUUCAUAAUAAGUGUUUAUGGCACUUCUUAAAUCCUUAUCCACCUUGUGUGCAAUGUCAGCCGUUUUCUUUAUGAAAGCGGCCAAACAUCAACUUAUUUUUUAACUGUCAGUCAGAAGACUAUUAUGAAUAAACAAUUCAAAUAAAACUUUUAACAACGGAUCUCUUGGUUCUG
rnacentral:misc_RNA from 1 species